UGGGGAAUAUUGGACAAUGGGCGCAAGCCUGAUCCAGCCAUGCCGCGUGUGUGAAGAAGGCCUUUUGGUUGUAAAGCACUUUAAGCGAGGAGGAGGCUACUUGGAUUAAUACUCUAGGAUAGUGGACGUUACUCGCAGAAUAAGCACCGGCUAACUCUGUGCCAGCAGCCGCGGUAAUACAGAGGGUGCGAGCGUUAAUCGGAUUUACUGGGCGUAAAGCGUGCGUAGGCGGCUUUUUAAGUCGGAUGUGAAAUCCCUGAGCUUAACUUAGGAAUUGCAUUCGAUACUGGGCAGGUAGAGUAUGGGGGAGGAUGGUAGAAUUCCAGGUGUAGCGGUGAAAUGCGUAGAGAUCUGGAGGAAUACCGAUGGCGAAGGCAGCCAUCUGGCCUAAUACUGACGCUGAGGUACGAAAGCAUGGGGAGCAAACAGG
rnacentral:rRNA from 1 species